rnacentral:rRNA from 1 species
UACGUAGGGUGCAAGCGUUAAUCGGAAUUACUGGGCGUAAAGCGUGCGCAGGCGGUGAUGUAAGACAGAUGUGAAAUCCCCGGGCUCAACCUGGGAAUUGCGUUGGAGACUGCAAGGCUGGAGUCUGGCAGAGGGGGGUAGAAUUCCACGUGUGAGCAGUGAAAUGCGUAGAGAUGUGGAGGAACACCGAUGGCGAAGGCAGCCCCCUGGGUCAAGACUGACGCUCAUGCACGAAAGGCGUGGGGAGCAAACGAGG